rnacentral:rRNA from 1 species
GGCAGGCCUACACAUGCAAGUCGAGCGGAUGACGGGAGCUUGCUCCUUGAUUCAGCGGCGGACGGGUGAGUAAUGCCUAGGAAUCUGCCUGGUAGUGGGGGACAACGUUUCGAAAGGAACGCUAAUACCGCAUACGUCCUACGGGAGAAAGCAGGGGACCUUCGGGCCUUGCGCUAUCAGAUGAGCCUAGGUCGGAUUAGCUAGUUGGUGGGGUAAUGGCUCACCAAGGCGACGAUCCGUAACUGGUCUGAGAGGAUGAUCAGUCACACUGGAACUGAGACACGGUCCAGACUCCUACGGGAGGCAGCAGUGGGGAAUAUUGGACAAUGGGCGAAAGCCUGAUCCAGCCAUGCCGCGUGUGUGAAGAAGGUCUUCGGAUUGUAAAGCACUUUAAGUUGGGAGGAAGGGCAGUAAGUUAAUACCUUGCUGUUUUGACGUUACCGACAGAAUAAGCACCGGCUAACUCUGUGCCAGCAGCCGCGGUAAUACAGAGGGUGCACGCGUUAAUCGGAAUUACUGGGCGUAAAGCGCGCGUAGGUGGUUUGU